AAAAGUCACAGGAGCUGCACAAACCUUUAGGAAAGCCCGAGGAAAACUACGGGCAUUUCUAAGACCCUCCCACUAUUGAGGAGACACGUGUGGCCUGCACAGUGGCAGACCAGCUCCUGGCCGCCCUCCCCAUUGGCACCUUUCACCAGCUCAUUGAUGAGUGUACGCAGAACCUAAACAAAGGAUCCUAAAGCCAGAGAGAAGAGGGAUAAGGAGGGGGUCUGUGCAGAGGCAGGGCACACGCGGAAGCAGUAGCAGAGCUUUUGACCAGACCUUUUUGGGAGCUGGUCAGAAUGCAGUGUGGCCCUGGCCUGAUGAAUCCCUCUGCCCCUAGCCCUCAGAUCACAGCCUUCAAACGGUUUAAUUAAAGCGGUGGCUAUUC
rnacentral:lncRNA from 1 species